UUUAAUUUUGCUGCCUGCAAUUUGCUGUGUUUCCAAGGGCAAGAGGAAGGAUUCACGCAGCUGAAACUUCAUCCUUAGAAAAAGGAGUUGGAAAGAGAGAGAAAACUACAAUUUUAAAAGAAGUAGUUCCUGAGUUCAGGCAGAGGAUAUAAAGGUGGAUGGAAAUAGAAAAUACUAUCCUGAGUGAGAUAAACCAGACCCAAAAAUAUGAAUAUGGUAUGUACUCACCCAUUAGUGGAUUCUAGCGAUAAACAAAGGACAUUAAGCCCAUAGUUCAUGAUCCUAGAAAAGCUAAGUAUUAAGAUGUACCCAAAUAAAGGUAUAUAUAGAUCCUCCUGGAAAUUGGAAGCAGACAAGAUUGCCAGGCAAAAGUUGGGAGCAUGGGGGCAGGGGGUAUAGGGCAGGGGAGAGGGGGAGAAAAAGGGGGAAAAGGGAGGGUUGGGGAGAGCCUGUGGGAGUAAGACAGUUGAGAUGGAGGAAGGGCGGAUAUGAGAGUAGGGACGGAGAUAUCUUAACUGAAGGAGCAAUUUUGGGGUUGGCAAGAGGCUUGCCUCUGGAGGGGUUCCUAGGAUUCCAAGGGGAUGACCCCAGCUAGGACCCUGGGCAGUGGAGGAAAGGGUGCCUGAACUGGUCUUGUCCAGUAAUCAGACUGAUGACUAUCUUAAAUAUCACCAUAGAACCUUCGUCCAGCGAUGGAUGGAUGGAGACAGAGACAAAAUUUAAGGAAUAAAGGUAGAAACAAAUCUUUGCUUAAGGUUACUAUGAUAAAAAUAAAUCAACUCAUAUAAUUAAUAGAAAUAUGUUUAUUAUUGCCUUAUUUUCAUGCCUGAAUAUUAAAACAUGGAAACGACUAAACAUAUUUAUGUAUGUAUACAGACACACAAGAACACACACACAUACAUUCUCAGUAAGCUAUGCUCAUUGAGUUUUUUCUUGAGAAUAUAUAAAACAACUUGAUAGAAACAACUGAAAGAAAAGUACAUACAUAUCUAAAUUUAUCUAUGUGAAAUAAGUAGCUAUCAUGUUAAUUAAAAAAAACGUGUUUUAGGCAGGGCAGUGGUUUUGCACGCCUUUAAUCCCAGCACUCGGGAGACAGAGACAGGCAGAUCAGGCCAGCCUGGUCUACGGAGAAACCCUGACUCGAAAAAAAAAAAAGUGUUUUAGGUUCAUUUCUGUUGCUGUCAUGAAUAUUCUGACAAAUGUAAAGGAGAAAGUGUGUAUUUGACUUAUGAUUUCAAGUUACAAUCCAUCAUUUUGUGGACAUCAAGGAAGGAACUUGACACACCUAAUUACAAACACAGCAAAAAACAGGUAGAACAAAAGAUCCAUAUAUGGUUACUGCUCAGCUCAUAUUCUGUACUCAUAUAUAGUUCAGAACCCAAACCUGGGGAAUCUUGCCAGCCACAGUGGGCUGAGUCUUCCAAAAUCAUUACUCAUAACACUAUACCGCAGAUAUGCCUACAGGACAUGAAGAUCUACACAGUCCCUGUCUUAGGGUUUCUUUUUUUUUUUUUUUCUUAUAAAGUAAUUUAUUUUGAGCUGCAGCCUGGGUUCUCAAAGAGCUUCCCAAGUAUUGCCUAAUACAUCUUUAUCCACGAAAUCAUCAUUGUCUCAGUGACAGAAAAAUGAAGGCUCAAAAUUGUUACGUGUCCCAUGCAGUGUCCGGCUCUGUCAUAGACCCCCUUGCUUGUAUAGUUUUUUUUUAUUUUAUUUUAAAUUUAUUUAUUUAUUUAUUAAAGAUUUCUGCCUCCUCCCCUCCACCGCCUCCCAUUUCCCUCCCCCUCCCCCAAUCAAGUCUCCCUCCCUCUUCAGCCCAAGAGCAAUCAGGGUUCCCUGCCCUGUGGGAAGUCCAAGGACCACCCACCUCCAUCCAGGUCUAGUAAGGUGAGCAACCAAACUGCCUAGGCUCCCACAAAGCCAGUAUGUCUUAGGGUUUCUAUUGCUGUGAAGAAACACCAUGGCCAUAGCAACUCUUAUAAAAGAAAAAUGUUAAAUUGGGGGUAGAUUACAGUUUCAAAGGUUUAGUCCAUUAGCCUCCUGGUGGGACAUGGUGGCAUAUAGGCAGACAUGGUGCUGGAGAAGAUGAGAGAGCUAUAUCUUGAUUAGCAGGCAAUGGGACAUGAAGUGGGACACUGAUGUAGCUUGACCCUUAAGAGACCUCAAAGCCAACCCUAACAGUAGCACACUUCCUUUAUUAAGGACACAUCUACUCCAACAAAGUCACACAUCCUAAUAGUACUAUUCUCUGUUGAGGAUCAUUUUCUUUUAAACUACCACAGUCCAUUAUUGGUACUAACUUCUUUGGUAAAUCAAGAUGUGUUUUAGUUUACAUCUAAAACUGACAGUCAGAGAUGGUAAUGAGAAAAUUUAAUAUAAAAUUUUCAGAGUAAUGACAUUAAAUUAAGGUGUUUACUUUUUCAGUCACAGAGAAUAACAUUUACAUUUUAAUGAAUCCAACAAUACUGAGCACUAAACAUUAAAAUAAUUUUUCGGAACAUAAUGCAAAGACUACUUUCUUUUCAUCAGCUAUGUGUUGAAAAGGAUUACUAUAAUUAGCAUUUAUAUUAAUUAUUGAAUGGUCAUAACUGUGACACAAUGCUAUGAAAUAGAAAAGCAGGAACUUUUUGCCUUUAAGAUGCCAUAAUUUAGAAGACAGUUGGGAGAGAACAUGGUGAAUUGAAGUUUGUGAACUCAGUAGGAAUGCUGAUCUCUAUAUUAUGAGUAUUUACAUUAUGUACCACUCCUCAUAAAAAAUCUGAUACUAGAGAAAGUAUUGACUGGAACAUAUCAGAUAAAAUUUAAUGAUCUUUUUUGUUUUAAUGUCUCUUUGUAGGAUUCAAGCACUCCUCAAUCUCACUUAAUAAGCUAGGAAGACUUUGAACCCUCCUGUUCUGCUGUGUCUAUUUAUUUUUAAGUGCUAUUAUUACCACCAAGUGACAGCAUCCUUCAAAGUAGAUUGAAUGGGUUAUUAUCAUAUAAAGAUUGAAAAAUUAGUUUUUAAUUUUUUAAAACUUUUACUGUUAUUUUGUUAAAGUUUGAGUGUAAAUUCAAUGGUGAAAUCUUCCUAUUGCCCUACCAUUUGUUAAAAUGGUCUUCACAGAUACAUUUGUGAUGAUGAUGAUGAUGAUGAUGAUGAUGAUGAUGAUGAUGAUGGUGGUGGUGGUGAUGACAGCAAUGAUGAUAUAUAUUCUGUUCAAAGCUUAGAGUUCUUUAGUCUCUUUUUCUCUGUACCAUGGCCACUUAUUGCCUCUGAAUUAACUUAGUUGAAAUAGAAACUUUUCAGAUAAAGGUUCAGAGAUACCUUGAUUUGUGGUUACAAUCAUUCCUCCCACAGGUCAGUUAUUUCUUUGUAAGUUGUUAGGAAUUCUAGUCCCAUCUACUCUCAAAACUGUAGAUGUUAUUGCCAUUGCACUUGAUUACUCUCCACAAACUGAUUUUAAAACCCUGUUGAUUUAAAAAAUCCUGUUGCUGUUGCCAUCAAUGUGGAGAAAUCAAUCUAUUACUGACUUGGAAUCUCCAUCCUUACUGGCUAGCUUUCUUGGUGCUACAAGGUGCAUACACACUACCACAUAAGAAAAGUAACCAUCAAUUAUACCCAGAUAUGGACUAUCUGAGAUAGAGCGAGGGAAGGCCUGAAAAUACAUUCUUACUGGUGCAGCAUUCUGAGAGUAACUACCCAUUUUUCUGAUUAGAUUUAACAACUGAUCAAAAUUCAGAUUUGUGGAGUACAGUCUCAAAGGCUCAAAGGAUACACCUACAACUUAUCCCAUGUACCUAUGACUCAGGGAUAAUUGAUAGUGAUGGAGUGAAAAAAAUGUAAGAGGAUCAGGGAUAAGUUUUGGAAAUAAAUGUUGGAGGAGAUCUUUGUUAUCUGUUGAAGAUAGGGCACACAGAUACUGCAGAAGGUUUUCUGCUAGUAUUGGUGCUGAGAAUGGAAAUGAUUAGAUCUGGAGGAACAGAGAAGAGAUGUAGAUCUGCCUUCAGCCUACAUGUUUCCCUGACUAGAAAGAACCUUUUGGUAAUAGGGUUUUCCGGCUAAUGUUGUGACUUUGAAAGAAAACAAUAAGCUGCAGGAGAAUAGAAGUGGAAGAUCUAUGGGAUCCAUAGUAGAUGGGAAGGGGGUGACAGGAUGGCCGUCACACGGUUGCCUUUUGAAGUGCAACGAAGAAGAAUAAUCAAUUGUCAAUGAUUCCCUGUGGAGCAGCUGUGGUUAAAUCUUGCUGCAGAGAUGGGGAUGAGACAAAGAGCUUUUAUUUGGAAGCACAGAGCAAGCACAGACCUUUUUAAAGGAUUCUUCAUAAGAAAAGCUUCCUAAUUUAAAAAAGUUGAAAUGAAUAGAGUAUCUUUAAUAUAUCAAUGACAAGACAAAUAUGAACAUACACAUACAUGAUUAUAGUAUGUUUUUUUAUUUCAUAAAAGAGAAAAGUGAGUAAGUGCCAGGGAAUUUCUAGUACAGUCAUAUCAAUUUGCUCAAUGUAAAGCAACCUGUGAUAAAUAGCAAGCAAGAUUCUCUGUCCUAUUUUUUCUCUUUUUAAUUUUUUUAUUAAUUUUAAUUUUUUAUUGAGCUAUACAUAUAUAUACUCUCCCAUUCGCUUCACCCCUCUCUCCUUCUACACUCUCCCAUCACCCCCCAUGGUGGCAAUUUACCCAGGAGAUCUUGUCUUUUACUCUUUCCUAUGUAGUUCUAUGUGUGUUUAUAUUAAAGACUUUUGUUUUCUAGGUUCUCUGGGGUUGUGGGCUAAAGACUGUUAUUUCUUUGUUUUAUGUCUAAAAGUCACUUAUGAGUGAGUAAAUAUUAUAUUUGCCUUUCUGGAUCUGGGUUACUGUCGAGGACUGGCCAUGACAAAAAAACUUCUUACCAAGGUAGAGAAGUGGUAAUUGAAGAAAUAUAAGUAAAUAAUAUGAAGACACAAUAAAUAAGACAGAAACUAUAGCAAGUAUCAGGAAGGCAUUCUAGUCACUCAAUUCCUGAAAUGUUGGAAUCCUUGUAUUUAUUUUUCCAUAGUUUUUAUACUCAACAUAAAUGGGGCGGAGGAGAAUGUAAAAAAAGAUUUUAUUAACAUUUUUUUUCUUUUUUCUUUAUUUAUUUAUUAAAGAUUUUUGCCUCCUCCCGGCUACCGCCUCCAAUUUCCCUCCACCUCCCCCAAUCAAGUCCCCCUCCCAUAUCAGCCUGAAGAGCAGUCAGGGUUCCCUACCCUGUGGGAAGUCCAAGGACCUCCCACCUCCUUCCAGGUUUAGUAGGGUCUAGAGAUGGCAAAAUUAGAAGGUUUCAAUCUCCUGGAUUAUGUAGAUGACGUAGAAAAGGCCAACAUUGGAUCAAAGGAUGUAGAUUGUAAAAGACAGACAAAGCAAUCUUGUACCAUUAGGAAACUCCUUGGGGACCUCAUGCAGGCCCCCAUGUCGAACAUGUUUGAGACUUUCCCAGUCAUUGUAGAGAAAAUAUCUCACCAAGAAAAUUAAAAAUCCAGGGCCUGCUGUAAAGAACCAUACUGUUAUGGAUGAUAGACUAGACAUGGAGGAUGAAUUUAAAAAAA